rfam:Myotis brandtii contig223557, whole genome shotgun sequence.
GAGACACCCUUCUGGGGCAAGACUUUUGCUUCAGUGGGGCUUUGGUGCUCACUGAGUCUGCCCCCUGAGUGUGUCCCU